CAAAAACAUCAAGGUAACCUCUUGAUGCCAAGGAAUAAAAGGCCAGCACAACAGCCAUCCACAGACCCCCAGACCAGAGCUUGGACCUGCACAGUGCCUCUGAUGAGCAGAGCAUGUCAGCUACUAGUAAAGCAAAGGCCCGGCCAGGAAAAGAAAAGGAAUAGGACAUCAGGUCUAUGCCAAGCACUAGGAAGACCUUAGAGAAUGAAGGAAACACUGCGGCUGGCUUAGGGAGACAGACGAGAAACACGUGAGCAUGAGGCAAAUGUGCAUUCACAAGUGGCGACCACGACAUCGGAAGGAUGGUGCUGGGUCAGAGCAGUAGGGUGG
rnacentral:lncRNA from 1 species